GAUAGAACGUAGCGAAAUGCGAUAAGUAAUGUGAAUUGCAGAAUUCAGUGAAUCAUCGAAUCUUUGAACGCACAUUGCGCCCGCCAGCACUCUGGCGGGCAUGCCUGUUCGAGCGUCAUUUCAACCAUCAAGCCCCCAGGGGCUUGUGCUGGGGCCCUGCGGCUGCCCGCAGGCCCUGAAAACCAGUGGCGGGCUCGCUAGUCACACCGAGCGCAGUAGCACAUCUCGCUCAGGGCGUGCGGCGGGCUCCUGCCGUGAAACCCCCCACUGUAACCCCAAAGGUUGACCUCGGAUCAGGUAGGAAUACCCGCUGAACUUAAGCAUAUCAUAAGCGGAGGA
rnacentral:misc_RNA from 1 species